GAACCGAGAAUAGGUCAUUUGGUGUGUGAAAGAUUGUUUUAGAUCUAGGGUUUAUAUGCAUUAAAACUUAAUUAAUUAUCUAAGUGAAUGGAGAUUUAUUAUCUUCGUUUAGAUAGGGUUUGCUUCUCAAAUUUGAUGUCUCCAAUCUUCACAAGAAUGUUAGGUACAUAGCCGCAUAGCGAAAUCUAAUCAUGGACAUUGCUGCCCUAUCAUUAGUUUUUGGUGCUGAUGUUAUAUAUAUUUUCUUUAGGUGACAAGUUUAAGGCCUAGGAUCCUCUUUGGCACGUGGAUUGCACCGUAAAGUACUAUAUAGUGCUCAAUGGCUGCUAUUAAGAGAUAAAUAACUAUCAAGAGUGGCGCACCAUAUAUAGCACAUAAGGCCAUUUUGUUUAAUAGCCAUAUAUCUCUUGACAACAACCAUCGGCGUUGUAUAAUACUCUGCAAUGUAAUCUGCGCA
rnacentral:lncRNA from 1 species